CAGUACAGUACCAUUCUACCGCCCCCGAAUGAUAUAAACAUAAUCAUCCUGUGAUAUGCACAAUCAAGUAAUGGCAGAAGUAAAGAAUAAAAUGAGAAAUUAAAGUCAAUUGCAGUAAUGUCAACUGAAGCAAUUACUAUUUCAAUAACACUAAUUUCACUUUUCAUUAAAACCUCCUAAGAAACAAUUCUAUGAAUGUGAUAUGCACAAUCAAGUAAUGGCUUAAGCAAAGAAUAAAAUGAGAAAUUGCAGUCAAUUGAAGCAAUUAGUCAUAAUGGCAAUCAAUAUAGUGAUUUAGAGGUUCUAG
rnacentral:lncRNA from 1 species